UUGAUGAUAUAAAUUCUCUUUCGGUUGAAAAGGAUCUCUCCAGCAGUUUUGGAGUGCGAAGAGUAAUGGAGUAGCCUUCUGUGCUUGGUGUGGAGGUUUGCAAAGCAAGCAAGUGGGUCAAAGUUUGUUUGGAGCUUCACUGUGUAGCAGAGACACCAAAAGAUGACCGAAGAACACGAAGAAGUAGAAGAGAUACAGCACGGCCCUUUUUCGAUCGAACAGCUUCAGGUUCAUUUGGAAGGGUUUCUGCAGGUGCUUGGCAGCAAAGAAAUAAUAAAUACAAAAAGGAAUCUUUUGUUCCAUGUUGAUUCAAUGUGGUCCAUCAAUGAAACCGUUAGUGGAAUAUUUACAUGGUACUAUCUUCUAUAUUGUUUUUGCAAGGACUCCUUUGAAAGCUCUUCACUCUGGCCACAAUUGCCAUUCUGUUUACUGCAUCCGAAAAUCACAUAGAAUUUGUCUUGUUACGUCUUAUUUGGAUAUUUGGCAAGUUCCAAUUCCUAUAAUCACGAAAUUAGCAGCUGUGAGAGUUGAUUAAAGAAAGAACAGAUUUAUGGUCUGGACUUCAACAAUAUGUAUAUCGAACAUCCACUUUGCAUGGAAAACCAUAUUGGUGUACGAUGGAAGGAAUUUACUCAACACAGUGGUAUUCUUAAUCCAUCUAGAAAUUGACUGUGAUCUGUAAUUCAUGAGGAAUAGGAAAUUCUUACUUCUAAACAAUGUGGGGGUGUGUUUUUAUUGAGCACAUCAGCAGAUGGGAUUGCUUGAGUUUAUUCAAGUCUUGCUGCAUUACCCCUUUUUAUAUUAUUGACUAUUUCUGUAGUACCAUGUAUCUUAAAAUAACAGUGAUUAAAGGAUUUAAAAUA